GUUUUAAUAAUUUAAAUAAAAUAUUGGUCUUGUAAACCAAAUAUAUGAAUAUUCAUUUAAAACU
rnacentral:tRNA from 1 species